rnacentral:sRNA from 1 species
UUAUCGCCGAAACUUCCCAAACAGGAAGUGCGGGGGACUUUUUUUAUCGAGGGUCAAAAGCGGCCUUCGAUUUGGGGUGAAUCGCAAUUGCGUAGGGCAGCCUCCUUGACCCGAACCCGACAACUAACCUCGUAGGCAUGUGAAAGGAGA